UUCAUUGUCAUUUUUGCGGGAGAACAUUGCACACGUUAAAGGGUUCUGUGUUGCAUUGUAGGGUUGUGAUGUUCCAUUAUGUGGAGGACACUUGCCUGGCUAGAGAAGUGGACAUCAACAGAGUUCCCUUGACUCCCACGAUUGUUGUAUGUGAUGUUUCUUCUCUAUUAAUCCGGAGAAGGGGACGAAAGUGGAACAAACAAAAACAAAACGGCUCCAUGUGAAUCCAAGAGUCCUUACUUUGAUUCAGGACCUCUCAGACCAUGAAUGGCGAGCUAUUUAAAAAGAUGUUCCUUCAAGUGACCGCAAUAGUGAACACCCAUAUGUUUCUCUAGAUGUUCUUCUAGAAGCAAUGCAGUUGCAUGUUAAUCUAAGCUUCUGUAACUUGGUUCAUGACCUUUUCAACCAUGAAUGGCGAGCUGUUUGAAAAGUUGUUCAAGUGACCGCGACAGUGAACACCCAUAUGUUUCUCUAGAUGUUCUUCCAGAAGCAAUGCAGUUGCAUGUUAAUCAAGCCUUUACCAUGAUUCACAAGCUCUCCAUGAAUGGCGAGCUGUUUAAAAAGGUGUUACUUCAAAGUGAUGGAGCCGAUGAACACCUAUAUCACCUUUUUUCGUGGCUCUAUAUUAACAAGGUUCACAUUUAUUCACUCACAAUCCCUCUCUCUCACAAACAGAAGU